rnacentral:misc_RNA from 1 species
GUAUAAGAUUGCUCCAGUUUUGCUACAAGCAAUAGCAGAAAGGUGCCAGAAGUAUGAUACACAUGUUUCUAUUGAGUAUCUACCAUGCUUUGAACUUGAAGGCAAACAUCAACAUGGCAAAAGCUCCAAAAGGAAUUUUAAAAAUUCAAAAAAUAUAUAAAAGGAAAUGGCUAUGCACCUUUGCACAGGUAUAACAGUAUUA